AUUGAACGCUGGCGGAAUGCUUUACACAUGCAAGUCGAACGGCAGCACGGACUUCGGUCUGGUGGCGAGUGGCGAACGGGUGAGUAAUGUAUCGGAACGUGCCCAGUCGUGGGGGAUAACGUAGUGAAAAUUACGCUAAUACCGCAUACGAUCUAUGGAUGAAAGCGGGGGAUCGCAAGACCUCGCGCGAUAGGAGCGGCCGAUAUCAGAUUAGGUAGUUGGUGGGGUAAAGGCCCACCAAGCCAACGAUCUGUAGCUGGUCUGAGAGGACGACCAGCCGCACUGGAACUGAGACACGGUCCAGACUCCUACGGGAGGCAGCAGUGGGGAAUUUUGGACAAUGGGCGAAAGCCUGAUCCAGCCAUUCCGCGUGCAGGAUGAAGGCCCUCGGGUUGUAAACUGCUUUUGUACAGAACGAAAAGGUUUCUACUAAUACUAGGAGCUCAUGACGGUACUGUAAGAAUAAGCACCGGCUAACUACGUGCCAGCAGCCGCCGUAA
rnacentral:rRNA from 1 species